rnacentral:rRNA from 1 species
UUCUGGCUCAGGAUGAACGCUGGCGGCGUGCCUAAUACAUGCAAGUCGAACGAGGGUGCUUGCACCCUAGUGGCGAACGGGUGAGUAACACGUAGGUAACCUGCCCUUAAGCUUGGGAUACCCAGAGGAAACUUUGGCUAAUACCGGAUAACAACAGAAGAGGCAUCUCUUCAGUUUGAAAGGCCCUUUACGGGGUCACUUAAGGAUGGACCUGCGGCGCAUUAGCUAGUUGGUGAGAUAACAGCCCACCAAGGCGAGGAUGCGUAGCCGACCUGAGAGGGUGAUCGGCCACAUUGGAACUGAGACACGGUCCAAACUCCUACGGGAGGCAGCAGUAAGGAGUUUUCGGCAAUGGGGGAAACCCUGACCGAGCAACGCCGCGUGAGUGAAUGACGGCCCUAUGGGUUGUAAAGCUCUGUUGUAAGGGACGAAUGAUUCGCUUAGGAAAUGAAGCGAGUUUGACGGUACCUUACCAGAAAGCCACGGCUAACUACGUGCCAGCAGCCGC